UGAGAAUUCAAUAUUCCAAUUUUUUUUUAUGCAGUCUUCAAAUUGACAUCGGCAUAUCAAUCGUUAUGAUGGCAAUGGAGUCGCUAUGGUUCAUGGUCAUAAACCAGGGAUUUCAAAUAACCCCACAAAUGGAAGUCGGACGGACUCAAAUCCGGAGAGGGUGCCGGCCAUUGGAGUUCUUCUCUGAAAGAGAUGAAGCAGUCGGAAAAAUGUCGAGUUGUCGCCACGAAUUUAUUGAGUCUCUUGAUGUGUGUGCUAUGACUCCAUCUUGCUGAAACCACACGUUUCUAACGUCCAUUUCUCCGAGGCUUGGAAGAAAAACAACCCUUUAUCAUGUUCUUGUAACGAGCUGCAUCCACGAUAACUUUGCGUUCGUUUUCUUUAAAAAAUAAGGACCAAUUAUUUCCAUUACUGACAUCGCACACCAGACAGUAACUCGUUCACAAUGAAGUUACUUCUGGUGAAGUUCUCGCGGAUUGACAAUAUUCCAAUAACGUGUGUAAGGGACCGUUUGAAAAUAAGCUCUCGACGGCAAAUGCCCGCUGCUCUCUAGACCAGAGCAGGAUGGUAACUCGUUGGAGAGAGAAACAAACUUGGGGACUUUCCCCUCCAGAUGCGCCCCAUCAAGACCCUCUCACCGCCCAACUCACCGUUCAUGAGAUUUUUUAAAUAAUUUUUUUUUCUCUGGCGCACCCCGUAUUUACAUUUCACGAUUUUUGAUAGCUAGGCGCCUAAUUGAAGAUUAAAUUGUAGGGGAUUUGCUUAAUUUUGCUUUUUAUAUUAUUAUCAAUAAAUUUAAAAAUCUAUCAAUA